AAAAGUGAUUAGGUUUCUCUAAAACCAGGAUAGGCACAUGAUUAAAGGGAAGAAUAUAAAGAUUAUUUUAAUCCUAAGAAAUUUCCACUGGAGAGUAGGGGAGAAGAAAGAUGUCAUAUCUGUAGGAUCACUGAAUAACUCCUAAGACUAUAAAGUCAUUUAAUAAUUACUGAUUCAACAAGUAUGUUUAACCAUAUUGCAUUUAGCAAUAUGGAAGUAGCCUAAGUAUCU
rnacentral:lncRNA from 1 species